GCCCUGAUAGUAUAAACAUUACAC
rnacentral:tRNA from 1 species